CGCAAAAGCAAUUAAUUUUAUUUUCUUAAACAUACAAACAAAAAAUAUAUAGAAAUUUGGUAAAUAUAUAACAUAAAAAUAUGAAGUGGUUUUAAAAAUUGAGGAUGUUUUAUUCUUAAUAACUUCGCUGGCACGCGGGAAGUGUCCUGUUUGAGGCCUACUCAUUUAGUUUAUUAUUUAGUAGCAUUUAGGCACAAAGACACAAUUUUCUAUGAUAGUCGGAUAAAUGUUGAAGUAAGAAGAUGAAAAUACCAAAAAAUGACGCUUUCUUCAGUUUCACUGUGGAAAGACCGCGGAGUGAAGUAUACACAGCAUGGUUUCUGUGGAUGGCCUGCGUGUCUUCAGCAGCGGCAGAAUCCUCUGAGGAACUGGCCUGACUCAUCUGCAUCUGUGACAGAUUUUGAUGUGGGCCGAUCAUGGGUACGCAUACACAAGAUGUUUAUGACCCGCUCCAGCUAAGCAAAGGUGGAUCUGGGUGUCCACAAGCCUCCCUCCUCGACCACCUCAAACUGACAGGCCCUAAGGUGCUGACUUUAAGCACAGUCCAAGCCCAAAGCAAGUGAAUAAUACACAGUAAUGAGUUAAUCAAUACGUAUUAUGGUUUGGUUGGUACCAAAGUGAGAACAGAACCCAGAGAGCACAGGAGCACCGAGCAGUGAAGGGUUGGGAAAAAAAAUCAACACUGCGUCUGAUCCAGAUAGCAUCAACCUUCCCCCAGGGAUUUCCCUAUUCAACAAUCCAAUUUACCAUGGCUGAUUGACGCGGAUUGGAUCCCGGGGAAUCGCAUAACUCUUUUAAGGCCCUAAUAAAAAUCUAAUGGAUUUCUGCGCAUCUUGGACCGAUUUCUGAACUUUUAAUAAACUACACUGGUCAUCCGCA
ensembl:lncRNA